UACGGAGGGUGCAAACGUUGCUCGGAAUCAUUGGGCGUAAAGCGCACGUAGGCGGCGCGUUAAGUCGGGUGUGAAAGCCCUGGGCUCAACCCAGGAAGUGCAUUCGAAACUGGCGCGCUUGAAUAUGGAAGAGGGUCGCGGAAUUCCAGGUGUAGCGGUGAAAUGCGUAGAUAUCUGGAGGAACACCGGUGGCGAAGGCGGCGUCCUGGACCAACACUGACACUGAGGAGCGAAAGCCAGGGGAGCAAACGGG
rnacentral:rRNA from 1 species